rnacentral:rRNA from 1 species
AUUGAACGCUGGCGGCAUGCUUUACACAUGCAAGUCGAACGGCAGCACGGGUGCUUGCACCUGGUGGCGAGUGGCGAACGGGUGAGUAAUGCAUCGGAACGUGCCCAUGAGUGGGGGAGUAGCCCGGCCGAAAGACCGGAUUAAUACCGCAUACGCCCUUAGGGGGAAAGGCGGGGGAGUCUUCGGACCUCGCGCUAUUGGAGCGGCCGAUGUCGGAUUAGCUAGUAGGUGGGGUAAAGGGACGUCACCUAGGCGACGAUCCGUAGCUGGUCUGAGAGGAUGAUCAGCCACACUGGGACUGAGACACGGCCCAGACUCCUACGGGAGGCAGCAGUGGGGAA